rnacentral:rRNA from 1 species
AACGGCGAGUGAAGCGGGAAGAGCUCAAAUUUGAAAUCUUCAAGGUUCUACCUUGACGAAUUGUAGUUUAAAGAAGUGUUUUCUGUUAGAUGAGUAGCAAAAGUUCCUUGGAAUGGGACAUCAUAGAGGGUGAGAAUCCCGUAUUUGGUUAUUCAUUCUAGCUUUGUGAUACACUUUCAAAGAGUCGGAUUGUUUGGGAAUGCAGUCCAAAAUGGGUGGUAAAUUUCAUCUAAAGCUAAAUAUUGGCGAGAGACCGAUAGCGAACAAGUACCGUGAGGGAAAGAUGAAAAGAACUUUGAAAAGAGAGUUAAACAGUACGUGAAAUUGUCAAAAGGGAAGCGUUUGACACCAGUGUUGUUUUUCCGAAAAUCAAUUACGAAUGGCUUGAUUUUGUGUUGUAUUGACCUUAUCAGCUUUCUGCACUUUUUUCGAGUCUUUCUUAAUGCACUUUUCGGUUAACAAGUCAACAUCAAUUUCUUUUGUUGUAAAAGAGUAUUCGGAAGGUGGCUUUCUUUUCGGAGAAAGUGUUUAUAGCCCUAUACUUCUACAAUCGGAGAGAUUGAGGUCUGCAGCGUAGAUCCUUCGGGGUUAGAUACACUUGUGCUAAGUUGUAGCUUUUCAUAGACAACUUGUUGACUAUGUUUAGUCAUGCGGCUUACUCGCUUAUGCUAUUUACCUAC